CUUUGGGAGGCUGAAGUGGAUGGAUCACGAGGUCAGGAGAUCGAGACCGUCCUAGCUAACACAGUGAAACCCCAUCUCUACUAAAAAUACAAACAAUUAGCCAGGCAUAGUGGCGGGCACCUGUAGUCCCAGCUACUUGGGAGGCUGAGGCAGGAGAACGGCAUGAACCCGGGAGGUGGAGGUUGCAGUGAGCUGAGAUCGCGCCAUUGUACUCCAGCCUGGGCAACAGAGUGAGACUGUCUCAAAAAAAAAGAAACAAAAAACACUCAAAACUUCCUGAAAGUCUGAGUGACUAGUUAAAUGAAAAGCUCUCCCUUAUCUUUAUGGACACUGCUUAUCAGGACCUUCAAACCCUUCCAACUACUGAGAAGUAUGCUGUGUGAUAGUAUCUGCCCUCCUGUCAGGGAAGGCAUAAGGGAAAAAUGACAAGAUGGUUUUCUACUCAGGGCAGUUUAGGUAAAAUCCUGUAUCUUUUCAAAAUGUUAACCAGAUCUAGGGUAAAUCCUGAGGUUUUGGCUCCCAAAAAACUGUUUGAAACUUGGGAGCAAUAGAGAUGUCCUGGAGAAAUCAUCCUGGACAUUCAGGACUUUUUGGCAAGAAUGGACAGCAAAAUUUAUUUUGCACAAAGUCACUGUUCAGAUUUAAUUCAGUAGAUGUGAAAAAUUAUAAAACACAAAACUUACAUUUAAAAGAAGAUACAUAGUGACCGGCUCAUGCCUGUAAUCCCAGCACUUUGGGAGGCCAAGGCAGGCGGAUCACUUGAGGUCAGGAGUUUGGAGCCAGCCUGGCCAACAUGGUGAAACCCGAUCUCUACUAAAAAUACACAAAAUUAGCCAGGGGUGGUGGCACUCGCCUGUUAUCCCAGCUACUCGGGAGGCUGAGGCAGAAGAAUCGCUUGAACCUGAGAGGCAGAGGCUGCAGUGAACCAAGAUGGUGCCACUGCACUCCAGCCUGGGUGACAGAGGGAAACUCCCUCUCAAAGAAAAAGAAAUAAUAUAUAUAUAUAUAUAUAAUAAAAUUUUAAAAAUAAAUAAAAGGAGAUACAUAUAAACCAAAUCUAACAAAGGCUCUAAAGAAGAGCAAAACAAUACUUUGUUCCAAAUGGGAAAUAGCAGAAAGAAUCCAAGGAAGUAAAAUAAGAAAGCCAGCACUGAUCAUAUGGUUCUUAAGGGUAGGAAAUACUAGGACUGGGCUAAAAGUAUAACAGAAUUUGAGAUUUCAAAUUUGAAAUUUCAAAAAGAAAUUUACAGGUCUAAUCCAAAUCCUUCCAUUUAUAGAUGAGGAAACUUAAGGUCCAUUUAUUAUUCAUUCAACAAACUUUUAUUGGUGUGCCUACAUGCUAGAUGCUAGAGAUAGUACAAAGACCAAGACAAGACAUGGUCCAGGACAGUGACUUGCUCAAAGUCACAAAGCAAGUUAGCAGCUAACCAGGGGCUCUUUGCACUAAACCCCAUAUUGUCCAAUAAUAUAUAGUCAUUUCUGUGCCUAUAAGCACCUUAAGCAUUUGAUGAUGGUUCUAUGAAAAUAUAAGAUUUUCAUACACAACUGAUACAUUUCAUAAGGGGUAUAUAUUAUAUUUAGAGGUAAUAUGAUAAGGGGUAUACAUAAUAUAUAAGGGGUAUAGAUUAUAUUCAGAUGCUGUUAGAAUCCAUGUAAAAUAACCAGUUUCUUAUGUAGCAUAUGAAACAGUAAUUUCCUUGGAAGUGCUUCCUAAUUUCUCAGUCAUUAGGUGUUGUGCAAAUGUUGACAAUCUAAAUUAUAAAAUUUUUAUUUAUUUUUUAAGUUUGGGGGUACAUGUGAAGGUUUGUUACACAGAUAAACACAUGUCACAAGGUAAAUUAUGAAAUUUUAAAACAUGGUUUCUGGUCAUAUGACUCUUACUAUGUCUCCUUUGAAUUACAAAGGAGAAUGUCAUUUUUUUAACUUAAUGUUUAAGUGAAAAUUAGAACACUAAUUUUUUUUUUUGAGACAGAGUCUCACUCUGUCAUUACGCUGGAGUUCAGUGGCGUGACCUUGGCUCACUGCAACCUCCACCUCCCGGGUUCAAGCAAUUCUCCUGCCUCCGCCUCCCAAGUAGCUGGGACUACAGGCGCAUGCCACCAUGCCCAACUAAUUUUUGUAUUUUUAGUAGAGACGGGAUUUCACCGUCUUGGCUAGGAUGGUCUUGAUCUCUUGACCUCAUGAUCUGCCUGCCUGGGCCUCCCAAAGUACUGGGAUUACAGGCGUGAGCCACCGUGCCCGGCCUAAAACACUAAUUUUAAGUGAAAAUUAGAAUACUAGUUGAAUGAACGACAUUUAGCUAGUGUUCUAACACUUUAUUUUCAUAAAUGACUCGAUUUUAAAAGACCUACUUCUAUCAUUAACCUGUUGACCCAUCUAAUCAUUCAUAGCUUAACCAGUUUGGUAACAGUGUAUGUAAUAUAAAUAGAAACAGUUAAUAAAAUGUUCUGCAUCAGAACUUUUUUUUUUUUUU
rnacentral:lncRNA from 1 species